UACAGAGGUGGCAAGCGUUGUUCGGAAUUACUGGGCGUAAAGGGCGCGUAGGCGGUUCGAUAAGUCCCGUGUGAAAUCCCUCGGCUCAACUGAGGAACUGCACGGGAAACUGACGGGCUUGAGUUCGGGAGAGGGAAGCGGAAUUCCGGGUGUAGCGGUGAAAUGCGUAGAUAUGCGGAGGAACACCGAUGGCGAAGGCAAUCCCCUGGGCCUGCACUGACGCUCAUGCACGAAAGCGUGGGGAGCAAACGGG
rnacentral:rRNA from 1 species